UGCCCAGCAACUCCUAUCCCUACCUCCUCGCGGUACUGGCUGGGGUACGAGUAACCUUAGGGAAGAUCGGGUAACCAACCCCCGGUGGGAACUUUGGUCGUAUGCUGACAGGGAAGG
rnacentral:ribozyme from 1 species